GAUUGAACGCUGGCGGCAGGCCUAACACAUGCAAGUCGAGCGGAUGAAGGGAGCUUGCUCCUGGAUUCCGCGGCGGACGGGUGAGUAAUGCCUAGGAAUCUGCCUGGUAGUGGGGGAUAACGUCCGGAAACGGGCGCUAAUACCGCAUACGUCCUGAGGGAGAAAGUGGGGGAUCUUCGGACCUCACGCUAUCAGAUGAGCCUAGGUCGGAUUAGCUAGUUGGUGGGGUAAAGGCCUACCAAGGCGACGAUCCGUAACUGGUCUGAGAGGAUGAUCAGUCACACUGGAACUGAGACACGGUCCAGACUCCUACGGGAGGCAGCAGUGGGGAAUAUUGGACAAUGGGCGAAAGCCUGAUCCAGCCAUGCCGCGUGUGUGAAGAAGGUCUUCGGAUUGUAAAGCACUUUAAGUUGGGAGGAAGGGCAGUAAGUUAAUACCUUGCUGUUUUGACGUUACCAACAGAAUAAGCACCGGCUAACUUCGUG
rnacentral:rRNA from 1 species